GAGGCAUCUCUUUGGGUUGAAAACUCCGGUGGUUAUGGAUGGGCAUGCGUUGUAUUAGCUAGUUGGUGGGGUAACGGCUCACCAAGGCGACGAUACAUAGGGGGACUGAGAGGUUAACCCCCCACAUUGGUACUGAGACACGGACCAAACUCCUACGGGAGGCAGCAGUGAGGAAUAUUGGUCAAUGGACGCAAGUCUGAACCAGCCAUGCCGCGUGCAGGAUGACGGCUCUAUGAGUUGUAAACUGCUUUUGUACGAGGGUAAACUCACCUACGUGUAGGUGACUGAAAGUAUCGUACGAAUAAGGAUCGGCUAACUCCGUGCCAGCAGCCGCGGUAAUACGGAGGAUUCAAGCGUUAUCCGGAUUUAUUGGGUUUAAAGGGUGCGUAGGCGGUUAGAUAAGUUAGAGGUGAAAUCCCGGGGCUUAACUCCGAAAUUGCCUCUAAUACUGUUUGACUAGAGAGUAGUUGCGGUAGGCGGAAUGUAUGGUGUAGCGGUGAAAUGCUUAGAGAUCAUACAGAACACCGAUUGCGAAGGCAGCUUACCAAACUAUAUCUGACGUUGAGGCACGAAAGCGUGGGGAGCAAACAGGAUUAGAUACCCUGGUAGUCCACGCAGUA
rnacentral:rRNA from 1 species